rnacentral:rRNA from 1 species
GGACUACCAGGGUAUCUAAUCCUUUUUGCUCCCCACGCUUUCGUGUCUCAGGGUCAGGAAAGCCCCAGUGAACUGCCUUCGCCUUUGGUGUUCCGCACGAUAUCAACGGAUAUCACCCCUACACCGUGCGUUCCGUUCACCUCUAACCUCCUCUAGCUUCGCCGUAUCCCGGGCAGGCUCACCGUUAGGCAGUGAGAUUUCACCCGAGACGCACAAAGCCCCCUACACACGCUUUACGCCCAAUAAAUCCGGAUAACGCUUGAGGUCUACGUUUUACCGCGGCUGCUGGCAC